GUCUAUCAGGAGGCAGGGUCUGCGUUGGCUCAGCACAUUUGGAUGGACGGUGGGAUCUGGUCACCCAGGAAGGCUCCCCUGGUGACGGCUGUUAGAUAUUUUCUGAGACCUGGAGAUAAAUGGUCACUAGGGGACCCAGAGGGGAGAAGUGACUAGCCAAGUGAACACACUCAUCCUGCAGGGGAAUAAAAACAGAGGUUCGGUUUUCAUGGAGAAUCUGGCAUCAAACUAAAGAGGACAUGGUUGUCUAGGCAACUGCUGCCAUGGAAACAGGAGCUAUUUCAGAGUCAAGCUGGCUCUCAUUGGAGGAAAAUGCUGAUUCAGAUGACAACAUCCUUCCCUCCCUUCUCCGUCCUCUUCCCCAGGCCUCCCCUGGCUUCCCAGCUGUCCUGUUCAGAGGGUCCCACGGCCUCCAUCUUGGGCAUCUCUCCACCGGGCAGGGGUCAGGCAGAGCUGCUGUGAGCAGUGACCGUGGGGUGCCCAGCCCUGGCCACUCCAGGAUGGGGGCACACGGAAUGAAGGACUCAGACACUUUGGGGCCUGGACAGGAAGCUGGGCCAGCUCUCAGGGCCACUUCGGAGACCAGGGAAGGAAAGCUACCAGGAGACAAGCGCCUGCGCAGUUCUACCACUCAGUUGCCUCCGGACCUUGGUGCUCAUUUUGUCACAGCAUGGCUGCCUACUUUGGAAGGAUGGCUUCCUUGAUUGAUCCAUUCAUUCCUGGCUCCCUUCUUUUCCAAAAUCUAAUUCGAGCCUUUCCUAAGGGUGAAGCCCUCAGACUUUCCCUGCUGCCCUGAGACGGACCACGCCUAUCAGCCGGUUGGGCAUCCCGCGUCCCUGCCCACCUCUGCACUCUUGGUUUCUCCCAUGGAAAACCCAGCAAUUGCACACAGGCCAAGGGCACAAGAGGGAACCCACUUCUGUAUCAGCGCUGCUUUGGCAAGGCCAGGUGGCAGCUCCAGGCUUCCCUGGGCCUCCAUCAGAAGCAGGAAGCUCAGCCCUCCAGAGAGGUGCCAAGAUGGUGCCUCCAGUGCUCAUGGGGACUCCCUGCUGGAGUCCGGGCUGGUAUGGGAGCUGCUGGGCACUCAGCCUCACAGAGGCCCAAAGGAGAGCUGCGGGGGCCUCCCAGGCAGCUGGAUGAGCAUGUCGUGAAACUGCCAUCGACCUUCCACCGCGGAGCCCCAUUAGGGUUAGGGGGGAGUGAGCAGCACAGAACAGGGUGGAGGGUGGCCCCAGGGGUGACCACAGGGAUGGCUCUUUUGGCUCUGCCCCCCACCCCCACCUUGAUCUCUUACUCCCUAAAGGGAACAUGGAGCCUUAAAACCAAAUGCCCUGGGAUGAACCCCAGUCCCUCCAGGCAUCAGUGGCUCGGCCCGGAGUCACCCAAGUCAUGGCCAGUCAUGGCCGACAGAUGCUCACCGCCUCGCUCCUAGACAAAGAGGAGCGCUAGCCUUCCUCCGCCCACCGCGGAGAGCUCCGGGGAGCAAAGAGACUCGAUAUAAAAGUGCCUUUUAACUGGAAGAUUUUUAUACAUAUUUGAAGGGACAUCAAUGAUUUAACAUGGCUGAGCAGGGCUUCCUUACCUUUCCCUGCUGAUUUAAGGCAGCUUCCCCGCCCCCCACUCCCCAUCUUUGUUAGAGGAAAGAUUCAUACCUGCUGGCUCAGGGGCUGAGCUGAAGUAGAACAGGAGGGGAGAAGGUUAAGGGAGGGCAAGCGGCCUCUUUGGCUGAGUGAGAGAGACUGUGAGAAACUCCAGGGCCAAGGAGAACCAGGGAGUGUUGAAAGCAAAGAGGGUGAGUUCAUUAGGACUGGCCUGCAUUCCAAGUUCAUGGCUUUUGUUUGCUUGUUUGUGCUUCUUCAAAUGUGAUUUUUCUUUCCAUUUAUUUAUUUGUUUAGGAGACAGAGUCUUGCUAAGUUGCUGAGGCUGGUCUCAAACUUGUGAUCCUCCUGCCUCAGCCUCAUCCUCCUGAGCAGCUGGGAUUACAGGCACGGGCCAACCUGAUUCUAGGAUAAGACCUAAGACGUGAACCCUUGGAUUUGCUUGGGUUAAAAAUAUUAGCAACUGGGGUGCACACUUGUAAUCCCAGUGGCUCAGGAGGCUGAGGCAGGAGGAUCUCGAGUUCAAAGCCAGCCUCGGAAAAAGUGAGGCACUAAGCAACUCAGUGAGACCCUGUCUCUAAAUAAAAUACAAAAUAGGGCUGGGGAAGUGACUCCAUGGUCCAGUGCCCCUGAGUUCAGUCCCCAGGACCCCUCCCAAUAUAUGUACUUACUACGAUUGUUCAUAAAACUGUUCAAUAAAUACUUAAAUUGAUCAGUAGUAGUUACUCAUCCUCCAGAAUAAAGCAGUUGCUUAUUAUUUGUCCCCCG